rnacentral:tRNA from 1 species
GGGGGGCUGGCGAAAUUGGCAAACGCAAAGAGCUAUUAACUCUUCAACCAUCACCCGAGCUCAGAUGGGACGAGGUACCCCCGAGUCCACGUGAUUUGGUCUCAACGGAUAUCCAGGUUCGAUUCCUGGGCCCCCCA